UUUCUGCCCAUAUGCAUGCCCCGGUGGAAAACUUUCAAUUUAUUUAUUUAAAUUUCAAUUUAUUUGCAUUUGUCUAAUCCAAACUAGGAAAUUCAGAAUCAAAGUCCGAGUCACAAACUCUCACAAUCCCGACAAAACCCCGCGUCUCCCCUCUAUCCCCAAAACCUUAGAUAAGUUAACAGGAAAAAAGUCCUGAAAAAACCCUUCUGCCGAACUCACACCACUCCUAACCUCGAUAGGAUAGCUUGAUAGGGACUCGCCUGUAUCCCCAAAACCUUAUGCGUGUUAACAGGAACAAACUCCUGAAAAGACCUUAGUCUUUCUACACAGGACCCCUGCGUGCCUAACUUCGCCCACUGCCAAUCACAUAUCAAAUGGGCGGGUCCCACAGCACCCCAGAUAUCCAAUCGGCUACAGGUCCGAUUUUUAUGAUCUGCCGCGGAGGUUAAGACUAGCACCGCGCUCCCACAUGACUCCUGUCUCCAGCCAGAUCAACGACUGGCGUUGCUUUCCCUCUGUGCAUAUCAAUAGGUAUGUAGGUAGGUUAAUCUUCCUGUCCUGUUUUUACAUUUCCUUUGAUCUUUUGUCAAUCUUUUCAUUUCAAAAAAAGACCACAAUGGUUUGUAACACCUACAAUGCACUUUUUAAAAAUAUUUAUAUAAACUCGGCUUUAACACGGGCUAAAGUACUUGCAUAUCAUAUCACAACAUCAGCUGUCAUGGCCUACUCAGGUAACUCAUUUCAUCUUGAUCAUCUUAUCUUAUACUCCUUUCACAUUUUACUAGUUUGCAUAUUUUAAAACUCUUCUUGUUUUUCUUUUUCUAGACUCUGAAAUCAGCCAGCUCUGCUCCAGCCCCGUUUCUCUCAACAAAACUGACAUCUCCGACUUGGAUUAUCUAUUCCCUCGCAGUCCGAAUUCCACACUACAGCCACAUACCACCGACACCAAGGGAAAAAUAUUCUUCUCUCCAACAGAGACAGACACGAUUUGUUAACCGAGCUAGGCAGUCCGGCCCGCAGUUCCAGAGCUCCACGCUCCCUCCCUCCACCCCGGCCUGCGCGGCUUGCCAGCCAUCAGGCGCUCGAAAGCUGGCGCGCCUGCUCUUGCAAGCCAGACACGGUCUAGGCAUUAAACGCCUCAGAGCAUUCAAGACAGCGAGCACCAGGACCAUUAAGACGAGGACAAAGAUAAAGCGCAACCGACAGCAGCUUGUUUCUCUUGCUCUAUGUCUCAUUGUUGAAUUAAUGUCCUUGAUGAAAUA